CUUGCUUAAAAUAAGAGGUCCAGCCUGCCCAGUGACACUGUUCAACGGCCGCGGUAUCCUAACCGUGCGAAGGUAGCGUAAUCACUUGUUCUUUAAAUGAGGACUAGUAUGAAAGGCACCACGAGAGUCAUACUGUCUCCUCUUUCCAAUCAGUUAAACUAAUCUCCCCGUGAAGAAGCGGGGAUAACUAUAUAAGACGAGAAGACCCUAUGGAGCUUUAAACGAAUAACACUUGCCCACCACUCCUUUUAAUUUCAGAAAAACCCACUACCUUGGCAUCAUACUUAUAAGUUUUUGAUUGGGGUGAUCACGGAACAAAAAAUAACCUCCGCAAUGAAAGACUCUCCAUAACUAAGUCAAGAGCCACAACUCUACACAUCAACAAAUUGACACCAAUUGACCCAAUUUAUUGAUCAAUGAAC
rnacentral:rRNA from 1 species